rnacentral:tRNA from 1 species
GCGGGGUUGGCGGGAUCGAGCUCACCGUGCUCGGCCAGCAGCGCCGGGGCGAACCUCUCGGAGUCGUCGCGGGGUUCGUAGCCCAGUGCCCGCGC